rnacentral:lncRNA from 1 species
CAUUGCAUGUCUAAUAAAGUCAUCAACCCCUUCUACAAAAUCCUCCCGCAAUCCUAAAUUUCAAUUCAUAUCCACAAAAGUUCAAUUCAUAUCCUAAAGGCUCAAUUCAUAUCCUAAAAGUUCAAUUCAUACACAAAAAUUUCAAUUCAUAUCAUAAAAGUUCAAUUCAUACACAAAAAUUUCAAUUCAUAUCCUAAAGGUUCAACUCAUAUCCACAAAAGCUCAAGUCAUAUCCUAAAAUUUCAAUUUAUAAACUAAAAUUUCAAUACAUAAACCAAAAAUUUCAAUUCAUAUCCUAAAGGUUCAAUUCAUAUCCUAAAGGUUCAACGCAUAUCCACAAAAGUUCAAGUCAUAUCCUAAAAUUUCAAUUUAUAAACUAAAAUUCCAAUACAUAAACCAAAAUUUCAAUUCAUAUUCUAAAGGUUCAACUCAUAUCCACAAAAAUUCAAGUCAUAUCCUAAAAUUUCAAUUUAUAAACUAAAAUUCCAAUACAUAAACCAAAAUUUCAAUUCAUAUCCUAAAGGUUCAAUUCAUAUCCUAAAGGUUCAACUAAUAUCCAUAAAAGUUCAAGUCAUAUCCUAAAAUUUCAAUUUAUAAACUAAAAUUCCAAUACAUAAACCAAAAUUUCAAUUCAUAUCCUAAAGGUUCAAUUCAUAUCUUAAAGGUUCAACUCAUAUCCACAAAAGUUCAAGUCAUAUCCUAAAAUUUUAAUUUAUAAACUAAAAUUCCAAUACAUAAACCAAAAUUUCAAUUCAUAUCCUAAAGAUUCAACUCAUAUCCACAAAAUUUCAAGUCAUAUCCUAAAAUUUCAAUUUAUAAUCUAA